CACGUCGGGGGCAAGCGUUGUCCGGAUUUAUUGGGCGUAAAGAGCUCGUAGGUGGUUCGGUAAGUCAGGUGUGAAACCUCCAGGCUCAACCUGGAGACGCCACUUGAUACUGCUGUGACUGGAGUCCGGUAGGGGAGCGUGGAAUUCCUGGUGUAGCGGUGAAAUGCGCAGAUAUCAGGAGGAACACCAGCGGCGAAGGCGGCGCUCUGGGCCGGUACUGACACUGAGGAGCGAAAGCGUGGGUAGCAAACAGG
rnacentral:rRNA from 1 species